UACCAGACUCCUACGGGAGGCAGCAGUGGGGAAUAUUGCACAAUGGGGGGAACCCUGAUGCAGCGACGCCGCGUGGGUGAAGGAGUAUUUCGGUAUGUAAAGCCCUAUCAGCAGGGAAGAACAAUGACGGUACCUGACUAAGAAGCACCGGCUAAAUACGUGCCAGCAGCCGCGGUAAUACGUAUGGUGCAAGCGUUAUCCGGAUUUACUGGGUGUAAAGGGGGCGCAGACGGCGAUGCAAGCCAGGAGUGAAAGCCCGGGGCCCAACCCCGGGACUGCUCUUGGAACUGCGGGGCUGGAGUGCAGGAGGGGCAGGCGGAAUUCCUGGUGUAGCGGUGAAAUGCGUAGAUAUCAGGAGGAACACCGGUGGCGAAGGCGGCCUGCUGGACUGCAACUGACGUUGAGGCCCGAAAGCGUGGGGAGCAAACAGGAUUAGAUACCCGGGUAGA
rnacentral:rRNA from 1 species